rnacentral:rRNA from 1 species
AUGAUUGCAUUCUCUUACUCUCUUUUGCCUGUGUUUUCCAUGGGCAGUGAGGCGAUAGGCGGUGGACAAGAAACUAAACAGAAACAAGUGGGCAUGCCCUCUCAUGCUUCUACUCGGUUGAACAAUGCAACACCCACUGUGGCUGGCAUCACGUCAACACGCUCGUCUCCUCGUAUAGCAUCAUCCAACAAUGGGGAUCAUGUUGUGCUGGAAGACUUGACAAAAACAACCAAGAGGUAUGUUUCUUCUUUCCAUUAUGUGGUGGCACCUAACUCAAACGGUGGAGCAAGUGGCAAUCAUUUUCCCAAAAUUCACAUGGCAGUUCUAGUAUGUUGA